CCUACGGGAGGCAGCAGUGGGGAAUUUUGGACAAUGGGCGCAAGCCUGAUCCAGCAAUGCCGCGUGCAGGAUGAAGGCCUUCGGGUUGUAAACUGCUUUUGUACGGAACGAAACGGUUCNCUUUAAUACAGGGGGCUAAUGACGGUACCGUAAGAAUAAGCACCGGCUAACUACGUGCCAGCAGCCGCGGUAAUACGUAGGGUGCGAGCGUUAAUCGGAAUUACUGGGCGUAAAGCGUGCGCAGGCGGUUAUGUAAGACAGAUGUGAAAUCCCCGGGCUCAACCUGGGACCUGCAUUUGUGACUGCAUCGCUAGAGUACGGUAGAGGGGGAUGGAAUUCCGCGUGUAGCAGUGAAAUGCGUAGAUAUGCGGAGGAACACCGAUGGCGAAGGCAAUCCCCUGGACCUGUACUGACGCUCAUGCACGAAAGCGUGGGGAGCAAACAGGAUUAGAUACCCUGGUAGUCCACGCCCUAAACGAUGUCAACUGGUUGUUGGGUCUUCACUGACUCAGUAACGAAGCUAACGCGUGAAGUUGACCGCCUGGNGAGUACGGCCGCAAGUA
rnacentral:rRNA from 1 species